CGCAAUAAGCUUGGCAUCAAUACGACCGCCCCUGGGAAGCUGGGGGAUCGGCGGUAACAACUAUACUACUAAUAUACUAAUAAUAAUAAUAAUCAAUGGGGAUAUAUCUCUCUCUUGCAUUAUACAACAACCCAAUGGCGCCACUCACGUCUUUCAUAAUUAGCACGAGGAGAGUCGGUGGGGAGUGACGAACGGGUUGUAAGAUGACCUUGAAAACAGCUCCUCCAAAUGCGGCCGGUACGAGUGGUCACCGCCAAGCCAACGACGCAGUGCUGUAGGCCUAACGGUGACUAGGGGAUAACCUUGACGUUGACAAAGUAAGCAGGGUGAAGGGGAAUGAAUAUAACUUGGUUCUCUUUCCGCUAGCCAACACUAACACUGAGGGGUAAAGAUAAAAUUGAGGGCAUACGCUAUUGCUGCGCGUGAAUGCAUUGACCCAUUGAGCCUAAUAAGGAGAGAAGAGUAAACUCAAGCUUGUUAUUUUUUUUCCUCUAUGUGGGGCGUGAGGAGAAAGUUGCAUGUAGUAACUCACCCGGCACUCCAAACUGAGCAAAUGAAGAGAUGAUAUCACACAGGCAAACAAACCAGUCAAAUAGGUCGUUUUUUCCUUGCGAUGACAGGGAAGAUUAUAUAUCCACAGCUUCAAGCAGAAUGACACGAAGCGACAUUACUACAAAGAAAAAUUACAGUAAGUGAAUAAAAUAAACUAUAUCACGUCUACUUCUCUUUUCCCAUAACAUGUGAACGUAAGGAGUCUGCAAGAGGCCGGUAGAUUUAAUACAGGACUUCUUCUGCAAAUCUAACCCCACCUAUCAUCACCUAUCCUCCCUGUCCAUGGAUUUUCUUGAAGGUAUCUAUCGUAUUGGCCCUCACCACAUGACUGCCAAGCCUGCCUGUUCCAUAGAUUUCCUUGAAGGUAUCUAUCGUAUUGGCCCUCACCACAUGACUGCCAAGCCUGCCUGUUCCAUAGAUUUCCUUGAAGGUAUCUAUCGUAUUGGCCCUCACCACAUGACUGCCAAGCCUGCCUGUUCCAUAGAUUUCCUUGAAGGUAUCUAUCGUAUUGGCCCUCACCACAUGACUGCCAAGCCUGCCUGUUCCAUAGAUUUCCUUGAAGGUAUCUAUCGUAUUGGCCCUCACCACAUGACUGCCAAGCCUGCCUGUUCCAUAGAUUUCCUUGAAGGUAUCUAUCGUAUUGGCCCUCACCACAUGACUGCCAAGCCUGCCUGUUCCAUAGAUUUCCUUGAAGGUAUCUAUCGUAUUGACCCUCACCACAUGACUGCCAAGCCUCAUCUACUCGUCCACCACUCACUAUGAAUAAAACAGUUCGUGCUUGUAUCAGUUUUACAUCUAAAUUCAUCCAGUUUAAACCCGUCAUUAUGCGUUAAGUAGCAGCAAGGCUAAUAAGUAUGCACCUCACCUGUACGAACACGAAAUAAGGUGAGAUUACCGCACAUAAAUCACUCAAAUGUAUUACUCUUCAUAAUAAUAACGAUGGCGAGGAGUGGCGAGGCUGUAUGCACUUAACUCAGUUCACUUGUCACUCCAAAGAUAAUAACUCGAAAUAAGAUGAGAUUAGUAGUACAAAAAAAUAAACGAUAAAUUAAGAAGUGCAUCAAUCAAAUAUAUAUAUACCUAACUAAACAGCACUUGGUCAUCUUUUUCCUACAGCGUUGGCGAGUGGUGAGACAUAUAAGGCAAAGUUGGGUGCGUACACUGUAGCUGGACGUGGCUCGGAGUGGUGGUCAGGGUUUAUGUAAGAGGGUGAAGGAAAAAACUAGUCUGGAUUAAUAAACAAAAACAAAAGGCUAAUCCCAUCAGACCUGUUACUCCUUACGA